GUGGGGAAUCUUCCGCAAUGGACGAAAGUCUGACGGAGCAACGCCGCGUGAGUGAAGAAGGUUUUCGGAUCGUAAAGCUCUUUCGUUAGGGACGAACGUGCUCUUUGUGAAUAAUGAGGAGUAAUGACGGUACCUAAAUAAGAAGCCACGGCUAACUACGUGCCAGCAGCCGCGGUAAUACGUAGGUGGCAAGCGUUGUCCGGACUUAUUGGGCGUAAAGCGCGCGCAGGCGGGAUAUCAAGUCUGUCUUAAAAGUGCGAGGCUCAACCUCGUGAGGGGACAGAAACUGGUAUUCUUGAGUGUCGGAGAGGAAAGUGGAAUUCCAAGUGUAGCGGUGAAAUGCGUAGAGAUUUGGAAGAACACCAGUGGCGAAGGCGACUUUCUGGACGAUGUCUGACGCUGAGGCGCGAAAGCUAGGGGAGCGAACGGGAUUAGAUACCCUUGUAGUCC
rnacentral:rRNA from 1 species